UGUCCAUCACGUGUGGCCAUUCAGUGGCUGACAGUGGGUCGCAAUCACGUGCACUCUUCUGUGUGGCCGAUAGUGGACCCCGUCAGGUGUAGCUGAACUCCUUACACGCCCCACCUAACAUGUUACACACCACAGAGGCCGUGGUACAGUGACUUUACUACUUCGGAGUAAGAUCUAUCGCCUGUGAUUGUUCUACGGAUUACCAAUACAAUGAGUGACUACCAAUGGAUUUGUCAUCACAGUUAGUGAUUGUGGAUUUGUCAUCACAGUUAGUGAUUGUGGAUUUGUCAUCACAGUUAGUGAUUGUGGAUUUGUCAUCACAGUUAGUGAUUGUGGAUUUGUCAUCACAGUUAGUAACUGUCCGUGGAUAUAGUAUGGAGCAGUGGAUUAAAUGUUUAACAGGCCGAUAUGUGUCGUGACGGAACUUUUCUGAAAAGCUUCCUAUCAUACUGGGACACACCCACAGCAUCCAUCCCUGAUGUGUGAACGGUAUAGAAGUUUUACGUGAGUGACUAUUUGCCGCGGUAAAAGUGACAAUACCUUGGCCAGCUUUAGGGCGCCUUUGGACUGUAGUUCUACCACGAUAGACAUUAAUGACUUGCGUGUGUCUGAAAUAUUGAUGUCCUGGCUCCCUGAGUGAUGUCCCUGUAAGGAGUAUUCCGCCAUGAAGGUUGACAUUAAGCCAUCACCACUGCGAUGGUUCCUCUUCGCUAUCAACAUCAUCUUUUUCCUCCUUGGGUUUGCCAUGGUAGCGGCCGGUAUGGCCGUCAAGGUCAAAGGUGACUUUAUUAAUGGGCCCUUAGUGGAACUACUCCGAGAACUAAACACACAGCAAGAUGGCGCCACCAUCGCUGACAUGCUGGUUACAUUGUCAAAUCUCUUUAUCGCGGUUGGUCUAGCCGGAUUAGUUGUCUCGCUGAUUGGCUGUUCCGGUGCCGCCUGUAGCUGGAGAAGUUGCCUU